rnacentral:rRNA from 1 species
UGCAUGUCGAACGAGGUACUUGUACCUAGUGGCGAAUGGGUGAGUAACACGUACUUAACCUACCUUUUAGACUGGGAUAACUACUGGAAACAGUCGCUAAUACCGGAUAUGUAUAUGAAUCGCAUGUUUUAUAUAUGAAAGGGGCGUUUGCCCUGCUAAAAAAUGGGAGUGCGGCAUAUUAGAUAGUUGGUGGGGUAAUGGCCUACCAAGUCAAUGAUAUGUAGCCGAGUUGAGAAGCUGAUCGGCCACACUGGGACUGAGAUACGGCCCAGACUCCUACGGGAGGCAGCAGUAGGGAAUUUUCCGCAAUGAGCGAAAGCUUGACGGAGCAAUACAGCGUGAAGGAUGAAGGUCUUCGGAUCGUAAACUUCUGUUAUAAGGGAAGAAAAACUCAAGGAGGAAAUGCCUUGAAUCUGACGGUACCUUAUUAGAAAGUGACGGCUAACUAUGUGCCAGCAGCCGCGGUAAUACAUAGGUCACAAGCGUUAUCCGGAAUUAUUGGGCGUAAAGCGUUCGUAGGCGGUUUAUUAAGUCUAGAGUUAAAGCCUGGGGCUCAACCCCAGCCCGCUCUGGAUACUGAUAGACUAGAGUUACAUAGAGGUAAGUGGAAUUCUUAGUGAAGCGGUGGAAUGCGUAGAUAUUAGGAAGAACACCAAUGGCGAAGGCAGCUUACUGGAUGUAUACUGACGCUCAGGGGACGAAAGCGUG